UAUGGCUCAGGAUGAACGCUGGCGGCGUGCUUAACACAUGCAAGUCGAACGAGGUGUUUCGGAUGAAGUUUCGGAUGGAUUCUGUUACACUGAGUGGCGGACGGGUGAGUAACGCGUGGGGAACCUGCCCCAUUCCGGGGGAUACCAGUUGGAAACGACUGUUAAUACCGCAUAAGCGCACGGGAGCGCAUGAUCCUGUGUGAAAAAACUCCGGUGGAAUGGGAUGGCCCCGCGUCUGAUUAGGCCAGUUGGUGAGGUAACGGCCCACCAAAGCGACGAUCAGUAGCCGGCCUGAGAGGGCGACCGGCCACAUUGGGACUGAGACACGGCCCAAACUCCUACGGGAGGCAGCAGUGGGGAAUAUUGCACAAUGGAGGAAACUCUGAUGCAAGCGACGCCGCGUGAGUGAAGGAGUAUUUCGGUAUGUAAAGCUCUAUCGGCAGGGAAGAAGAUGACGGUACCUGCAGAAGAAGCCCCGGCUAACUACGUGCCAGCCGCCGC
rnacentral:rRNA from 1 species